GCCCCCGUCGUUCAGUGGACAGGACAAUAGAUUGCGGAUCUAUAAACAGAGGUUCGAAUCCCCUCGGGGGCA
rfam:Candidatus Staskawiczbacteria bacterium RIFCSPLOWO2_01_FTLL_33_9 rifcsplowo2_01_scaffold_70197, whole genome shotgun sequence.